rnacentral:rRNA from 1 species
AGCGAACGCUGGCGGCAGGCUUAACACAUGCAAGUCGAGCGGGCACUUUCGGGUGUCAGCGGCGGACGGGUGAGUAACGCGUGGGAACGUGCCCUCUGGUUCGGAAUAACUCAGGGAAACUUGAGCUAAUACCGGAUACGCCCUUUUGGGGAAAGGCUUGCUGCCGGAGGAUCGGCCCGCGGCUGAUUAGCUAGUUGGUGAGGUAACGGCUCACCAAGGCGACGAUCAGUAGCUGGUCUGAGAGGAUGAUCAGCCACACUGGGACUGAGACACGGCCCAGACUCCUACGGGAGGCAGCAGUGGGGAAUAUUGGACAAUGGGCGCAAGCCUGAUCCAGCCAUGCCGCGUGAGUGAUCAAGGCCUUAGGGUUGUAAAGCUCUUUUAUCCGGGACGAUAAUGACGGUACCGGAGGAAUAAGCCCCGGCUAACUUCGUG